rnacentral:rRNA from 1 species
GAAAGAAUAUCGGAGACGGAUGGGCAUGCGGCGCAUUAGCUGGUUGGCGGGGUAACGGCCCACCAAGGCGACGAUGCGUAGGGGUUCUGAGAGGAAGGUCCCCCACACUGGUACUGAGACACGGACCAGACUCCUGCGGGAGGCAGCAGUGAGGAAUAUUGGUCAAUGGGCGAGAGCCUGAACCAGCCAAGUCGCGUGAGGGAGUACUGCCCUAUGGGUUGUAAACCUCUUUUGUCGGGGAGCAAAAGCCGGACGUGUCCGGCUGUGAGAGUACCCGAAGAAAAAGCAUCGGCUAACUCCGUGCCAGCAGCCGCGGUAAUACGGAGGAUGCGAGCGUUAUCCGGAUUUAUUGGGUUUAAAGGGUGCGCAGGCGGAUUUUUAAGUCAGCGGUCAAAUCGUGGGGCUCAACCCCAUCCAGCCGUUGAAACUGGGGAUCUAGAGUGUGCGAGAGGUAUGCGGAAUGCGUGGUGUAGCGGUGAAAUGCAUAGAUAUCACGCAGAACCCCGAUUGCGAAGGCAGCAUACCGGUGCACAACUGACGCUCAGGCACGAAAGCGUGGGUAUCGAACAGGAUUAGAUACCCUGGUAGUCCACGCAGUAAACGAUGAAUGCUACCUGUUUGGCCAGAUUGAUGGCUGA